AAAAUCCCCCAAAAUCCCUGAAAAAUCCCCCCAAAAUUUCCCAAAUUCCUCCCCCAAAAAUCUCCCAAAUUCCCCCCAAAAAUCUCCCAAAUUCCCCCUAAAAUUCCCCCAAAUUCCCCCCAAAAUCCCCCAAAAUUCCCCCAUUGUCGCCCCUCCCCCCAGGUCACGUGCGUGGUCGGAAACUUCCAGAACCAGGGCGGGGAUUUGGGGUGGGGGGCGGGGACCCCCCGAGCCCCCCGAGCUGCCCCCCCAAAACCCCCAACCCCCCCUGGAGGAGAUCAGCGUCACCCAGGUGCGUCGGGCGGAGUUCCCAGCGGUGACCUGAGGGACCCCAAAAAUCGGGAACCCCAAAAAUCGGGAACCCCAAAAAUCGGGAACCCGGAAUUUGGGGGAGCCUGGGAAAAAACUGGGAUCGCGGAAUUUGGGGGAAUUUUGAAAUUUGGGAUCCCAAAAAUUGGGGAAUCCUGAAAUUUGGGAUCCCAAAAUUUUGGGGAUGGAGAAAUUUGGGAUCCCCAAAAUUGGGGAAUCCUGGAAUUUUGGAUCCCAAAAUUUGGGGAAUUCUGAAAUUUGGGAUCCCAAAAAUUGAGGAAUUUUGAAAUUUCGGAUCCUGAAAUUUGGGGAAUCCUGAAAUUUGGGAUCCCAAAAUUUGGGGAAUCCUGAAAUUUGGGAUCCCCAAAAAAAAUCCUGAAUUUGGGAUCCCAAAAAAUUUUGAAAUUUGCAAUCCCCAAAAUUUUGGGGAUGGAGAAAUUUGGGAUCCCAAAAUUUGGUCAAUUCUGGAAUUGGGGAUCCCAAAAAUGGAGGAAUUUUGAAAUUUAGGAUCCCCAAAAUUGAGGAUUCUUGAAAUUUGGGAUCCCAAAAUUUGGGGAAUUCUGGAAUUUUGGAUCCCAAAAAUUGGGGAAUCCUGAAAUUUGGGAUCCCAAAAUUUGGGGAAUUCUGGAAUUUUGGAUCCCAAAAAUUGGGGAAUUUUGAAAAUUCGGAUCCCCAAAUUUUUAGAGUGUUGAAAUUUGGGAUUGCAAAAUUUGGGGAAUUUUGAAAUUUGGGAACCCCAAAAUUGAGAAUUCCUGAAAUUUGGGAUCCCAAAAUUUGGGGAAUUCCAGAAUUUGGGAAUCCCAGAAUUUGGGGAAUUCUGGAAUUUUGGAUCCCAAACAUUGAGGAAUUUUGAAAUUUGGGAUCCCCAAAAAUUUGGGGAAUUCUGAAAUGUGGGAUCCCAAAAUUUGGGCAGUUCUGAAAUUUGAGAUCCUGAAAUUUGGGGAUUCCCAAAAUUUGGGGGGAGACGGAAAAUGUGGGCUCCAAAAAAGUGGGGUUUCCUAAAAUUCGGGGGGAAAUUCUGAAAAAUGUGAGAUCCCAAAAAUUUGGGGAAUGCUGG
rnacentral:lncRNA from 14 species